UACGUAGGGGGCAAGCGUUGUCCGGAAUUAUUGGGCGUAAAGGGCGCGUAGGCGGAUAGUUAAGUCCGGUGUGAAAGAUCAGGGCUCAACCCUGAGAGUGCAUCGGAAACUGGAUAUCUUGAGGACAGGAGAGGAAAGUGGAAUUCCACGUGUAGCGGUGAAAUGCGUAGAUAUGUGGAGGAACACCAGUGGCGAAGGCGACUUUCUGGACUGUAACUGACGCUGAGGCGCGAAAGCGUGGGGAGCAAACAGGAUUAGAUACCCUGGUAGUCCACGCUGUAAACGAUGAGUGCUAGGUGUAGAGGGUAUCGACCCCUUCUGUGCCGCAGUUAACACAAUAAGCACUCCGCCUGGGGAGUACGGCCGCAAGGUUG
rnacentral:rRNA from 1 species